UACGUAGGGGGCGAGCGUUGUCCGGAUUUAUUGGGCGUAAAGAGCGUGUAGGCGGCCAGGUAGGUCUGCUGUGAAAACUCGAGGCUCAACCUCGAGACGUCGGCGGAAACCAUCUGGCUAGAGUCCGGAAGAGGAGAGUGGAAUUCCUGGUGUAGCGGUGAAAUGCGCAGAUAUCAGGAAGAACACCCGUGGCGAAGGCGGCUCUCUGGGACAGUACUGACGCUGAGACGCGAAAGCGUGGGGAGCAAACAGG
rnacentral:rRNA from 1 species